UACGGAGGGGGCUAGCGUUGUUCGGAAUCACUGGGCGUAAAGCGCACGUAGGCGGACCAGCAAGUUGGGGGUGAAAUCCCGGGGCUCAACCCCGGAACUGCCUUCAAAACUGCGGGUCUGGAGGUCGAGAGAGGUGAGUGGAAUUCCGAGUGUAGAGGUGAAAUUCGUAGAUAUUCGGAGGAACACCAGUGGCGAAGGCGGCUCACUGGCUCGAUACUGACGCUGAGGUGCGAAAGCGUGGGGAGCAAACAGG
rnacentral:rRNA from 1 species